rnacentral:lncRNA from 1 species
GAAGUGGUACCUUCUUUAGAAAGAGAAGAACGUUUAACAAGGAAGAAAAGGGCCAACCUGCAGCGAGAUUUGGAGAAGGGAAACAGCAUUUGCAGGACAUCCACUCAACUCUAGGCUUCGUGCCAGGCGGCUUAAGUAUAUGAUCACAGCCUCGGCUUGGGAGGGGCCUGAGGGCCUAAUGAACAGCCUGGUACAGCCUGGUACAGCCUAGGACAUCCUGGGAAGUUCUGGAAAUACUGACUCCAAGCAGGUCAAGGGUGGAGUAGUUUUCUACCAGGACAGAGUUAACAACCCAUAAAGGUCUCUGCUUAAGUAAGAAGUCCAUUUCUGUGAACCAUAACCCAGAUAUAGCAACGCCAGACUGUCUCCUAUCAAAAUUUAUUGAAAUGGUAGAUUUUUGGACCAUGCCUGGCUAAUUUUUCUUGUAUUUUUAGUAGAAGUGGGGUUUCACCAUUUUGUCCAGGCUGGUCUCAAACUCCUUACUUCAGGUGAUCUGCCCGCCUUGGCUCCCCCAAAGUGCUGGGAUUACAGGCAUGAACCAUUGCACCUGGCCUUGAUUCCCUUUUUAAUGCACAAAUAUGAAGAGCAAUAUUCACCAAACUCUAAUAAAAUGUAAGUGCUCUUGCAAUCCUAUCUGUACUAUCCUUCCAAAUUAUUUUUAAUCCCAGCUCUUUCUAUCUUUGUUUAGACACAGGUGUAAUUUCUGCUUAGUUGUUUCAUGAUGUAGCUCAGUGUCUGUGUCUCUUUCUUACUUUGCAGUGUGGAGUAGUUUUCUACCAGGACAAAGUUAACAACCCAUAAAGGUCUCUGCUUAAGUAAGAAGUCCAUUUCUGUGAACCAUAACCCAGAUAUAGCAACGCCAGACUGUCUCCUAUCAAAAUUUAUUGAAAUGGUAGAUUUUUGGUAAGUACAGAAACACAAGCGAAGGAACCAGGAGGAACGUGCACCCCUCUACCCGUGGGGCAGAGGCACGUUUCCCUUUUAAUGGUAAAAGCAAACAGGUGGGAAACAGCUUUCUAUCCUGAAGCCGUUUUAACUGUUCAACCCUUAGAUUACUAUAAACAAGAGAGGAAUGGAUUGCAUUAGUCGCUGGUUGAAAGCAGCAAUGCCAUUUCCUUUCCCAUAAUAACACUGUUUAGCUCAGUCCCUUCUGGGGCUAAUCCCCUAUUACACCCACCGGAAACACAGAUACUAACCAAAGCAUGUGAGUCUCUUCCCUGAGUCCAUUUCUGCUAAAGAUUGUCUGAAAGAUGAAUUGGUCCACGGAAGCCAGGUGACCUACUGGCUUGUUUAAUGAUGCCUGGGCUUCCUCCAGGAACAACACAAUUCCCUCCAAUCUCAGCUCUCCUUAUCCCUGCUAGAGCUCACAAGCAGGCUAGAUAUCACCCCAGGAGCUGAGCCCCCUCCAGUCUGAGGCAGAUGUGGGAAGAAGGCCAACAAGUCACAAGUAGAUCUCUGGCUCCAACUCUGCUCAGCAGAAACGCCUACAAUUUGCCCAUCUUCAGUCCUGCGAGCGUCAGAGAUGAAGCAAGUUUCAGAUGCCUAGAAGCUUUACUCUCUGUUCCUCCAGGAUUCCUGCGGUCACACCUUGCAACCAGUCUCCCACUCAUCUGCCACAGUUUCCCUAAAUCAGAUUCUCUGAAUCUGGAAGUUCCAGGAAAUCUUAGGCCGAGUCCAGUGACAUUACUCGAUGCAACAGCCCAACUGUUUCUCCAGAGAUGCUGGUUCUUGGUGACAAUGUCCCUUCUUGGAAUGGUUAUUUGAGGUUGGGCCCAGAUAAGAGGGGCUCCAUGGCUCACCGGAGUUGGCGAUUAACGCCUCUGGAGCGCCUCUGGUUUUGUUGGGGUCCCCUGUGAGCUCGACGCUCGUGCUGCGGUUAUUAUCUGGCUCACCUGUUAUCUUCCUCUGGAGGCAGCGGUUGAUCAAAGUGGAGAAGAAGUUGGGAAAGGAUGGGCUGGAGAAGUAGUACACCACGGGGUCCAGCAUGCUGUUCAUGUAGGUGAAGCUGAGAGUGAUAAAGAACGCCAGGUCCACCGAGCGGUACACUUCACAAUUCUGCGUGCCCGAAGUGUGCAGGAGCCAGAAGAUGU